rnacentral:rRNA from 1 species
UACGGGGGGGGCAAGCGUUGUUCGGAAUUAUUGGGCGUAAAGGGCUCGUAGGCGGUUUGUCGCGUCGGGAGUGAAAACCUUGGGCUUAACUCAGGGCUUGCUUUCGAUACGGGCAGACUAGAGGUAUGCAGGGGAGAACGGAAUUCCUGGUGUAGCGGUGAAAUGCGCAGAUAUCAGGAGGAACACCGGUGGCGAAGGCGGUUCUCUGGGCAUGAUCUGACGCUGAGGAGCGAAAGUGUGGGGAGCGAACAGG